GGGGCUUUGACCUCUGGGGGCAGUGUGUCGAUGGAAAACCGCUGCUUGUGCCGGACAUCGUUGCAGAUCGGAGGCAGUUCUCUUCCUGCAGAACAACAGAGAAUCGUUUGGAGCCAAACCCUGAAGACAGGUUUGAGCGACUUACGGCCAAUAUCAACUGAACCACCAGCAAACUCACCAUGUCUGAGUCCGAGGCUGCUCGUCAUUACACCACCGCCGCCGCCGCCAGCAAAGCCCCGCCCAACCAGGUCCCUCCUCUGGCUCAAUGUGGAGAUGAAGGUGCAGAGAGUUGGAAACGGUUGCUUGGUUCCACGCCCAAAACCCUGGCAAACAAGGUGGAACUGACUUAAGUCUAAACAGACAACGCCUUCACUGUGACAUCAGUUUAAAAAAAUGCUCAUCACUUCAUCAGCUGUUUGAAGAGGAUCAGAGGACGGAGGGAGGACAUUGUUACGAGGAGG